GGUACUCAAGGGUACGCAGUACUGGCACAUGUAUUUUGGUGUUGUUUGAAAUUGUGGCACUUGCUGUAACAACUUCAUGUCCCCUCAAUCCCCUUCAGAAGAUUGCCCUAGCCUAGAUGUUGAGUAGAUGAACCCCUGAGCUAAUGAGCUGGUUACAAACCCUGUAAGAUCUUCAAGCGGAGGCAGCAGGAAAAACCUCAGAGAACAUAGGUUUGGGAACCAUUUGCACAAUCCAAAGUUGUUUGAUCCUUUAUUUGAUCCUAUUUGAAUAGUGAAAGUGUUGCAUAUUACAUAGUGAUUCCUCCUAAGCUGUGA